UAUUUUUCAGGUUAUCUGGACGCAUUGAAGUGUGACGUACAAAUUAUCCUGGAUGUUCUAGGAAAAGAUCCGAGUGAACACGCAUGUGAGGCUGAAUGUUAUAAGAUAGUACAGGAUGGUAGCGCGCUUACCUAUGGUUGUCCACUGGUGUGUCAUUCCAUUCAAAACCUUGCACAUUACUUCCACGAGACUCCUAAGCCUGGGGAUGCCAGCAUGCCGUGUGGUGGACUUAAUAUUCUUGAUCUUUUUUGGACGGAAAUAAAAACGACGUUCUGGUGCAAAAUUACUUUUCAAAUACACAUGUACAAACAAAUAA